rnacentral:tRNA from 2 species
GUGGGUAUAGCUCAGUAGGCUAGAGCGCAAGAUUGUGGCUCUUGAGGCCAAGGGUUCGACUCCCUUUACUCACCCCA